rnacentral:rRNA from 1 species
GCACAAGCGGUGGAGCAUGUGGUUCAAUUCGACGCAACGCGAAGAACCUUACCCAGGCUUGAACUGCAGAUGACAUCCUGCGAAAGUAGGCUCCCGAAAGGGCACCUGUAGAGGUGCUGCAUGGCUGUCGUCAGCUCGUGUCGUGAGAUGUUGGGUUAAGUCCCGCAACGAGCGCAACCCUUGUCCUUAGUUGCCAGCACUUCGGGUGGGCACUCUAAGGAGACCGCCGGUGACAAACCGGAGGAAGGUGGGGAUGAUGUCAAGUCAUCAUGGCCUUUAUGGCCAGGGCUACGCACGUGCUACAAUGGCCGGUACAAAGGGUUGCCAACCCGCGAGGGGGAGCUAAUCCCAAAAAGCCGGUCGUAGUCCGGAUCGGAGUCUGCAACUCGACUCCGUGAAGUCGGAAUCGCUAGUAAUCGUGAAUCAGCGAUGUCACGGUGAAUACGUUCCCGGGC